rnacentral:misc_RNA from 1 species
UCUAAAGAAGAAACGAAAACGGAAAUCUGUUAUUUUCAGGCAGUCUUCAGCAGAUGUUGUAGGAAGCAGCAGCCAGCAGGAGGAGCUUGAAGGUGGCCCUGCCCAUGGAGAUGCCACUGUUUCUUGCUCCAUCUCAUUGGUCUCACCACAUGCCAUCCAUCAUCCACAGCCACAGGAAAUGGCAGGAACUUCAACUUCAAGGCUUCCAGGUCUGGAAUCUGACCUCAGCAUACCUGCUUUCAACUUGAACAUGAAUCCAUCAUCCUCAUCUCUG